AUUAGAUAAAAAACCAAUGCCCUUCGGGGCUCCUUGGUGAUUCAUAAUAACUUGUCGAAUCGCAUGGCCUUGCGCUGGCGAUGGUUCAUUCAAAUUUCUGCCCUAUCAACUUUCGAUGGUAGGAUAGUGGCCUACCAUGGUGGCAACGGGUAACGGGGAAUUAGGGUUCGAUUCCGGAGAGGGAGCCUGAGAAACGGCUACCACAUCCAAGGAAGGCAGCAGGCGCGCAAAUUACCCAAUCCCGAUACGGGGAGGUAGUGACAAUAAAUACUGAUACGGGGCUCUUUCGGGUCUCGUAAUUGGAAUGAGAAAAAUUUAAAUCACUUAACGAGGAACAAUUGGAGGGCAAGUCUGGUGCCAGCAGCCGCGGUAAUUCCAGCUCCAAUAGCGUAUAUUAAAGUUGUUGCAGUUAAAAAGCUCGUAGUUGAACCUUGGGCCUGGCUGGCCGGUCCGCCUCACGGCGUGCACUGGUCCGGCUGGGCCUUUCCUCCUGGGGAAUCCCAUGGCCUUCACUGGC
rnacentral:rRNA from 1 species